GAUUCUAUACGAGUACAUGCGAAAGAUACUUCCCUCAAGAAGUAUUUAUUGGUAUCAUUUCAUCUUCGUGAUAGACCACCGGAUGUUGUGGAUGUGGAUGUUGUCCUAUUAAAAUGGGUACUUGCAUCAAGAGCAAAGAAGAAACUUCAACGAUGAAAAAAACUACAAAUGAGCCGAACGUCUGUUGGAGCAAAUCAAGCAAGAGGGACACGAGUAUGCAUUUUCAACAAAGACAGCGCUACAAAACCUCGCUACAAAAGCAGCAGGUUACGAAAGCUUAAGGUCCAAUUUGACUGGCCUAUUCAGGCACUUCAAUUCAGGCAAGCAAAAUUAAAAGGAUUUGAUUCCUUCAAUGCUAGUGGAAGAUAUCAACGUUCUGAGAAUAAAAAUGAGUGAGAUGGAGUACGAAACAGCUCAACAGCAACAAACUGCGUGGAAUCAUUCGAACGGACCUACGCCCAAAAAACAGAAGAUAGAAAAAUCAUUAUGCUGCUCCCACAACGGUAAUUUUUUAGAAAGAAAACAUGAAGAGAAUCGAUGAAAGAUUGAUAACUAUUGAAUGUUGAUUCCAAUAUGCGAAUGAUGAUUUCGUAUCAACUGACUUGACGAUGCCUAAAAAAUUUUACACCGAGCUUCAUAUUUGUUCUAUCGUACUUCUUUAACAUUUUGAACAAAAAUUGGUCUGUAGUUAUCGAUGUUUUUUUCAUAUCCUACGAGUGAUGAAACGAUUGAAGUCUUCCAAGUUAUCCAUCACUACUUGCGAUUUCCUCCGAAAAUUCAUGUCAUGAGAGGUUGCCAUGCAAUAUACAGCCAUAAAAAAAGGAGUGACAAAUUGGCGAUGAAGCUGAACCUUCCUCAAUUUAUGGAGCGUAUCACUGGCACUGAUGGCUUCACAUCCAGGAAUCACUGAGAAGGAAGCAAAGACCGCCAUUGGAACAGCGCUACCGCAAGCGAAAGGAUAGGAUGGUCAUCGAUCGCAAAAAAAAAUAUACAAAUCUGACGCCUCAUCAGUCAUUACCAUUACCGAGUACAAGUUCAGCAGGAUCCAAUGACGAACAAGAAAUGCGUAAUACGAGUAAUGAGAGAGUAAAACAGAUCGAUAAUUACUGGGAGAGACUGCAAACGUACAAUCCAACUUUAUGGAUUCACAAUACAGAGGAAUCAUCCGAAUCUGAAUGGAUCUGGAAACAACCUCCAAAAGCUAAGCCGGAUAGCGUUAGGAUGGAUUUAGGAGAUUGUCAAAAAAUGUUAAAUACUAAACACGC